rnacentral:rRNA from 1 species
UGCCAGCCGCCGCGGUAAUACGUAGGUGACAAGCGUUAUCCGGAAUUACUGGGCGUAAAGCGCGCGCAGGCGGUUGGUCAAGUCCGGCGUGAAAUCUCCUGGCUCAACUGGGAGAGGUCGUUGGAAACUGAUCGGCUUGAGGCGAUGAGAGGGGUACGGAAUUCCAGGUGUAGUGGUGGAAUGCGUAGAUAUCUGGAGGAACACCAGUGGCGAAAGCGGUACCCUGGCAUUUGCCUGACGCUCAUGUGCGAAAGCGUGGGGAGCGAACGGGAUUAGAUA